UACAGAGGUCCCGAGCGUUGUUCGGAUUCAUUGGGCGUAAAGGGUGCGUAGGCGGCGGGGCAAGUCUGAUGUGAAAUCCUGGGGCUCAACCCCAGAACUGCAUUGGAUACUGCUUUGCUAGAGUACUGGAGAGGGAACUGGAAUUUACGGUGUAGCGGUGAAAUGCGCAGAUAUCAGGAGGAACACCGGUGGCGAAGGCGGGUCUCUGGGCCGAUACUGACGCUGAGGAGCGAAAGCGUGGGGAGCAAACAGG
rnacentral:rRNA from 1 species